CACUGUCUGUGCCUAUUCUCACCCUGUCUUACAGGUGAAAAGUAACUGAACCAACACAGCGCUGUCAGAGAGGAGUUGAAGAACUGUCGGUGUCAUUAUGAUGGGGGCUCGUGAAUCCUCUCUGUUCUGACCAGACGAUUUUCCGUGCUACAGCAGUAACCCACAUUAUUCCUGUUUCAUCUUGUAUUUGUUGUUUAAUCCCUGUGCUUUUCCAGCAGCUUGGUAGAUGUGAUAGUUUCUGAACAGAUUGUGUAAAUAAUUCUCUGAAAUUUGCAUUGAAGGUUGAAAUCGCUGGUUAAAAAUCACUUGGGCCCCUCAGUAAAACCCUGUUAGGAAGGCAAAAUUUCUGUACAUUCUAGUGACGGUGUAAACAUACAGCAGAAAUAUUGCCCUGUGAUCUCUGUGUUUGUUAUAGAGACACCAUAAACAUACAGUUAGAAUAUUGCCCUGUGAUCUCUAAAAAAGUUAUAUGGGCUGUGUAAACCAUGCAAUGGAAUAUUGCUUGAAAUUUCUGUGUAUAUUAUAGAGACUGAGUAAACACACAGUGGAAUAUUGCCCGAGAUCUCUGUGUAUAUUAUAGAGACUGAGUAAACACACAGUGGAAUAUUGCCCGAGAUCUCUGUGUAUAUUACAGAGACUGCGUAAACACACAGUGGAAUAUUGCCCGAGAUCUCUGUGUAUGUUACAGAGACUGAGUAAACACACAGUGGAAUAUUGCCCGAGAUCUCUGUGUAUGUUACAGAGAUUACGUAAAGACACAGUGGAAUAUUGCCCGAGAUCUCUGUGUAUGUUACAGAGAUUACGUAAAGACACAGUGGAAUAUUGCCGAGAUCUCUGUGUAUUUUACAGAGACUCUGUAAACAUACAGCGGGAAGAUUUCGUCUCAUUGUUGAGAGCGAACUCAGAGAAACCUGUUUGAAGGAGUAUGCACUCAUGGUAAUCCUGCUGCUCAGAGACUUGAUAAGAUGUGAAUUAACCAUGAGCGCUCGAAUCCCUCGUAGGUCCCUUUGUGACUUCUGGCUAAUAAUGAGCAGACUGCAGCUUUACUGAAUCCCCCUUUGUGUGCCUGAGAAGGAGGACAACGGAAAAACAGCGCUCAGUUCUGCAGUCUCCCUCUGCUCCAGGUAACACCCCACUGCUGUCACCGAGUGUCGAGGAGAAAGAUGGAUAGCCUAUUGUUCUCGUCUUGUGGCUCAUGGCUGUUAACAGCCAAAUCCCAAAGUAAAACUGUCUAUCUCAACGUUCCCCCCAACACUCCCCCACAACAGGGGUACAAUGCCACUUGAACCCAGUGCUAUCCUUUUCUCCACUGAACAGAACAUAUCCACCUCCCGCUAUCCAGUCCCAGGAAGGGAUUUCAUUGCUCUGUUGAGUUUCAAAUUCUUGAUGAAUAGCCAGUUCCAGGGACAUUUGCCUGUUGCAACUUUCAGCCGUUUACCGAUUAUUUCCGAUUUCUUUGCCGUUUAUUUUGUUUUCUGUCCAUCUCUGGACAGAUUUGUUUGAAAACGUUGCCUGUGUAGACUUUUCAAUCGCGUAUGUCAAUGAGUGGGACUGUUUUGUUUGGAAUUAAAGUUUUCCCUCCA